rnacentral:rRNA from 1 species
ACACCGAACUUGAAUACUUUGAACGCACAUUGCAGCGUCGAUCAAAGAUGUCGACGCUACGCCUGUCUGAGGGUC